UACAGAGGGGGCAAGCGUUAUUCGGAAUUAUUGGGCGUAAAGGGCGCGUAGGCGGCUUUUCAAGUGAGGGGUGAAAUCCCUCGGCUUAACCGAGGAACUGCCUGUCAGACUGGAGGGCUUGAGACCGGGAGAGGCGAGUGGAAUUCCUGGUGUAGCGGUGAAAUGCGCAGAUAUCAGGAGGAACACCAAUUGCGAAGGCAGCUCGCUGGGACGUUACUGACGCUGAGACGCGAAAGCGUGGGGAGCAAACAGG
rnacentral:rRNA from 1 species